rnacentral:rRNA from 1 species
GAGUUUGAUCGUGGCUCAGGAUGAACGCUAGCGGCAGGCCUAACACAUGCAAGUCGAGGGGUAUAGGGUGCUUGCACCUUAGAGACCGGCGGACGGGUGCGUAACGCGUAUGCAAUCUACCUUGUACAGGGGGAUAGCCCGGGGAAAUCCGGAUUAAUACUCCAUAAUAUAAUAGGGUGGCAUCAUUUUAUUAUUAAAGUCUUAAUGGUACAAGAUGAGCAUGCGUCCCAUUAGCUAGUUGGUAUGGUAACGGCUUACCAAGGCUAUGAUGGGUAGGGGUCCUGAGAGGGAUGUCCCCCACACUGGUACUGAGACACGGACCAGACUCCUACGGGAGGCAGCAGUGAGGAAUAUUGGUCAAUGGGCGGAAGCCUGAACCAGCCAUGCCGCGUGCAGGAAGAAGGUUCUAUGGAUUGUAAACUGCUUUUAUACAGGAAGAAAUGGUCUCUUGCGAGGGAUUUUGACGGUACUGUAGGAAUAAGGAUCGGCUAACUCCGUGCCAGCAGCCGCGGUAAUACGGAGGAUCCGAGCGUUAUCCGGAAUUAUUGGGUUUAAAGGGUUCGUAGGCGGGCUUAUAAGUCAGUGGUGAAAUUUCGAGGCUCAACCUCGAAAUUGCCGUUGAUACUGUUGGUCUUGAAUAUUUGUGAGGUAGUUAGAAUAUGUAGUGUAGCGGUGAAAUGCUUAGAUAUUACAUGGAAUACCGAUUGCGAAGGCAGAUUACUAACAAAUUAUUGACGCUGAUGAACGAAAGCGUGGGUAGCGAACAGGAUUAGAUACCCUGGUAGUCCACGCUGUAAACGAUGGAUACUAGCUGUUUGGUUUUCGGACUGAGUGGCUAAGCGAAAGUGAUAAGUAUCCCACCUGGGGAGUACGUUCGCAAGAAUGAAACUCAAAGGAAUUGACGGGGGCCCGCACAAGCGGUGGAGCAUGUGGUUUAAUUCGAUGAUACGCGAGGAACCUUACCAGGGCUUAAAUGUGAUCUGACGUAGUCGGAAACGGC